AUGCUGCUAAAACCUGUCCGACAAUGCCAGCAUUGUUCUCAGAUCACACCUUCAGGCACUAUGCCUACCUCCGAGACAGUCUUUCUCAUCUUGUUCCUGCCUUGAGGUUACCAGGUAGAAAACUAGUGUCAUCAGCUGUUUCUCCCAGCAUAAUACCUCAAGAGGAUCCUUCUCAGCAGUUCCUGCAGCAGAGCCUUGAAAGAGUGUAUAGUCUUCAGCACUUGGACCCUCAGGGAGCCCAGGAGCUGCUGGAAUUCACCAUCAGGGAUCUGCAAAGACUUGGAGAACUUCAAUCUGAAUUGGCAGGAGUAGCUGAUUUCUCUGCCACCUAUCUUCGCUGUCAACUACUUCUCAUCAAGGCUUUGCAGGAAAAGUUGUGGAAUAUAGCUGCCCCUUUGUAUUUGAAGCAGAGUGAUUUGGCCUCAGCAGCAGCGAAACAGAUUAUGGAAGAGACCUACAAAAUGGAAUUCAUGUACAGUGGUGUGGAGAAUAAGCAGGUGGUGAUUAUACAUCACAUGAGGCUGCAGGCCAAAGCUUUGCAACUUAUAGUAACAGCACGAACUACACGAGGGUAAGAUGUGGGGUUGGCCAAAAUAUGUGGUAUGUUCCUUUCAAAGAUACUUCAAAUGCAUUCA
rnacentral:sRNA from 1 species